CUACACAUGCAGUCGAACGGUAGCAGCGCAAACAGCUUGCUGUUUCGCUGACGAGUGGCGGACGGGUGAGUAAUGUCUGGGAAACUGCCUGAUGGAGGGGGAUAACUACUGGAAACGGUAGCUAAUACCGCAUAACGUCGCAAGACCAAAGAGGGGGACCUUCGGGCCUCUUGCCAUCGGAUGUGCCCAGAUGGGAUUAGCUUGUUGGUGGGGUAACGGCUCACCUAGGCGACGAUCCCUAGCUGGUCUGAGAGGAUGACCAGCCACACUGGAACUGAGACACGGUCCAGACUCCUACGGGAGGCAGCAGUGGGGAAUAUUGCACAAUGGGCGCAAGCCUGAUGCAGCCAUGCCGCGUGUAUGAAGAAGGCCUUCGGGUUGUAAAGUACUUUCAGCGGGGAGGAAGGGAGUAAAGUUAAUACCUUUGCUCAUUGACGUUACCCGCAGAAGAAGCACCGGCUAACUCCGUGCCAGCAGCCGCGGUAAUACGGAGGGUGCAAGCGUUAAUCGGAAUUACUGGGCGUAAAGCGCACGCAGGCGGUUUGUUAAGUCAGAUGUGAAAUCCCCGGGCUCAACCUGGGAACUGCAUCUGAUACUGGCAAGCUUGAGUC
rnacentral:rRNA from 1 species